rnacentral:rRNA from 1 species
UACGAAGGGGGCUAGCGUUGUUCGGAAUCACUGGGCGUAAAGCGCACGUAGGCGGACAUUUAAGUCAGGGGUGAAAUCCCAGGGCUCAACCCUGGAACUGCCCUUGAUACUGGAUGUCUCGAGUCCGGGAGAGGUGAGUGGAACUGCGAGUGUAGAGGUGAAAUUCGUAGAUAUUCGCAAGAACACCAGUGGCGAAGGCGGCUCACUGGCCCGGUACUGACGCUGAGGUGCGAAAGCGUGGGGAGCAAACAGG